AGGUUCACCCCUGUGGUGAAUAGUUAAAUUCACCACACUCUUCAUAACCAAUUAAAGUGUCAUGUAGAAAUAGUUAAAAAAGGCAAUAAAAAUAAAAAAAUAGCUAAAAAAAAAACAACACCGACAUUAAUUAACGCCGUCUAAGAACCUAAACUCUAAAACCAUAAAUCACAAUCCGAAACACUAAACCCUAAAUCCAAAUCCUAAAACUCAAACUCUAAAUCUUAAACCUUAAACCCAAACUCUCAACAAUAAACCUUAAAUCCUAAAAUCUAAACCCUAAACCCAAAACUCUAAACCAUAAACCCUAAAAUCUAAACCCUAAAUCCUAAAUCCUAAACCCUAAACUCUAAACCCAAAACUUCAAAUCCUAAACCCUAAACUCUAAAUCCUAAACCCUAAACCC
rnacentral:lncRNA from 1 species